UGAGGGAUAUUGGUCAAUGGGCGCAAGCCUGAACCAGCGACGCCGCGUGGGUGAAGAAGGUCUUCGGAUCGUAAAGCCCUUUUCCCACUGAAGAGGAAGGACGGUAGGUGGGGAAGAAGUCUCGGCUAACUACGUGCCAGCAGCCACGGUAAAACGUAGGAGACAAGCGUUAUCCGGAGUUACUGGGCGUAAAGGGCGUGCAGGUGGCGUCUUAAGUCUGUUGUGAAAGCGCCUGGCUUAACCGGGCGAGGCCAAUGGAGACUGAGAGGCUGGAGGACGGCGGAGGGGUGUGUAAUUCCGGGUGUUGUGGUGAAAUGCGUAGAGAUCCGGAGAAACACCAGAGGCGAAGGCGGCACUCUAAGCCGUACCUGACACUGAGACGCGACAGCACGGGGAGCAAACG
rnacentral:rRNA from 1 species